AAAGAAAAAUUACUAGUUUAAGCUGAAUUUCAAAGGCGCGAAAGCUUCUAAACCUGUGAUGCGUCUCCUUCAUCGACGGAAAACGAAUCGGUAAUGGGAAAGGAAUCGGUGGAAGACGUUUGUUGGUGGUUGUGCGAUGGUUGUUGAUCGGAGUUGGUUAUGUUCUCCAUAUCCCUCAUUCUCAUCCGAGCAACGGUUGUCACGAGAAUGGCGGCGGUGCCAAGAGUCCAAACCCAGAGGAUCUUUAAGCCAGG
rnacentral:misc_RNA from 1 species